rnacentral:rRNA from 1 species
GAUGAACGCUGGCGGCGUGCCUAAUACAUGCAAGUCGAGCGAACGGACGAGAAGCUUGCUUUUCUGAUGUUAGCGGCGGACGGGUGAGUAACACGUGGAUAACCUACCUAUAAGACUGGGAUAACUUCGGGAAACCGGAGCUAAUACCGGAUAAUAUUUUGAACCGCAUGGUUCAAAAGUGAAAGACGGUCUUGCUGUCACUUAUAGAUGGAUCCGCGCUGCAUUAGCUAGUUGGUAAGGUAACGGCUUACCAAGGCAACGAUGCAUAGCCGACCUGAGAGGGGGAUCGGCCACACUGGAACUGAGACACGGUCCAGAAUCCUACGGGAGGCAGCAGUAGGGAAUCUUCCGCAAUGGGCGAAAGCCUGACGGAGCAACGCCGCGUGAGUGAUGAAGGUCUUCGGAUCGUAAAACUCUGUUAUUAGGGAAGAACAUAUGUGUAAGUAACUGUGGACAUCUUGACGGUACCUAAUCAGAAAGCCACGGCUAACUACGUG